UAAUAACUACAUGGUCCCCGAGAGU
rnacentral:piRNA from 1 species